rnacentral:lncRNA from 1 species
GAGACGGCUUACGGUCCGGAGCCUCCUGAGGCGGUCCACGGUCCGGAGAGCCUCCUGAGGCGGUCCACGGCCCGGAGAGCCUCCUGAGGCGGUCCACGGCCCGGAGAGCCUCCUGAGGCGGUCCACGGCCCGGAGAGCCUCCUGAGGCGGUCCACGGCUCGGAGAGCCUCCUGAGGCGGUCCACGGCCCGGAGCCUCUGGCGGCGGUCCACGGCACGGAGCCUCUGGCGGCGGUCCACGCAACAGAGUCGCCACCGAAGAUGGCGGAUCCGCGAGCGGAGCGGGUUCUACGUCCCGCACCGGAGCCGCCACCGGGGCUAAAUGCCCACCUGGUCCCUCCCCUAUAGACUCAGGUUUUGAGGCCGGAGUCCGCACCUUUGGGGGGGUACUGUCACACCCUGACCUUAGAGAGCCUUUUCAUUUCUCUAUUUGGUUAGGUCAGGGUGUGAUUUGGGUGGGUAUUCUAGUUUUUCUAGUUUUUUGUUGGCCGGGUAUGGUUCCAAAUCAGAGGCAGCUGUCUAUCAUUGUCUCUGAUUGGGGAUCAUACUUAGGCAGCCUUUUUCCCACCUUAGUUUGUGGGAUCUUGUUUUUGCAUAGUUGCUGUGUAGCCUGCUGAACUUUACGUUUGUUUUGUAUUUUGUUGUUUUGUCGGUGUUCAUUUUAAAUAAAAGUAAAAUGUUCGCCUACCACGCUGCACCUUGGUCCAAUGUUUACGACGAACGUAAUACACUGUGAAACUUUUAUGGAUGUGGAAAAGGUGAAACCACUGCUGGACUUGAUCUCACGAGAUUUUGUGGAAACUGAGUUUACUGUCGCACGCCAGUUUCUACAGACUGAAAUCGCCCAAUCUGGAGAAGACAAAUGGCUUACGCAGAGCACUUUGUAUAGAUACUCCGGGCCUCUAACAGCAAUGCCUACUGUGACGAUGGCAUUGAAGCUGUGAUUAACAUUUGGAGCAUCCACGGCAACUUGCAAGAACUCUUUCAACAUUAAAACACGUAUUCAGUGAGGAGCAUGUUGCACAGGAGGAAAGCACAGCUGAUUCAACUGGUGUUUGAGAGGGAUCUUACAAGCAAAUUCCGUGGGGAGUGGAACGAGAGACUGCUGAGGUUCAACACAGCAUCAAGGCAGUUGCAACUCUUUUGAAUCUGUGUAAGAACAGGCAGCCUGGCUGGGCUUAUAUUCUUUUCUUAUUUGCAAGAUUUUGGAAAUGCGUGGCAAAUGUCAGAAAUAGGAAUAGACCUGAUUUUCUUUAUUGGCAUUGCUGCCAAGUCUAUUGCUUGAUUUCUGUGAUGUGAUUGGAAAUGUUUGGUAUAUAAUAUAAUCUAAUUGUUUUUAAUGCUGUUUUAUAUGGUAGAAGAGGUGCUUUGCAUUACAUGGAUGAGGGUGGGCAGACCUUGACCAAUGGUUGAAUAACGAUGUAGCUUUAGUGUUGCCAUAAACAACUCGUUGCUAUGGAAUACUAAUUUCUCUGUUAUCAUACGCAGCGUAGUACGGCAGUCUUGUGGGAAGACAUCUUGGUAGCUGAGUCCAAGCUGCAAUGUACCGAUAAGUCGUGCUAGUGCAUUGUACAUUAUUGCUUGCUCUCUGCAAUUGGAAAUACAUUGUAUUGGCAUGGGGAAGUGUUAUUACGGUUGUACUGUCAUGGGCCCUCACAGAAACUCACUGGCUUCGAUGACAGGCAUGGAGCUGCCUUGCCCCUCAAAGACUGGCUUGAUGAUCUCUGAGUCACACACCGCGUAGACCUUCUGGCUCUCAACACACAACAGGCAUUGUCCAGAUGGUGGGGGGGGGAUGGUGGGGCAGGGAGGCAGGGGAGCCAUUUCACCUCGUGACCACAGAGUCAAAUGAUCCGUCCAAUGGUCAUAAACAGACUCAAUAUUUUGGCAUUGAGUAUCGUUACAGAGGUAACAGACAGGGGAGGUCUUCUGAGCUGCAAGAGAGAAUACAACAGGAAGAGAGCUAGUUAAACAGAGACCCCAGACAAUAUUAAAUAUCAAAGUUACUACACUUAGUUUUAGAUCAGUCUGGGUCAAAACACUACUAUACAUACUCACUGUGCUUUAAUAUAGGAAUCAUUUUAUGGAAUUAUGGAAUUAAAAUGCCCAGAUUGAAUGGUGAGAUCAAGUUGUCACCACUUUCAUAUUUCACUUUGAAACAUUCACUGACUGAUCCCUGUUUCAGCACCAAUACUUUGUGUAAAUCUGUGAAACUGUGACAAGGUUUGAAAAACCUAAAUGUCGGGGAGAAGUGGCUUAUUUACAGUGUAUAAAAGUACAGUAUUCAUUUCGUUUUUGACACUAUAAUGAACACAUGCAUGGCAGGCAUGAGAACAGCUCACCUUCAAAAGAAGUGCCAGAUACAGCCCAGCCAGCCAGACAUAGAGCCAGGAAGACUGUAAGAAAAAAAAACAAGGGCUCAUGCAUGUGGAUGUCAGUACAGUACAAACACCCACUCAUCGUCUUGUUAACGGUUUCUCACUUACAGUAAUCUAUAUAUGACUAAAACUCAAAAUGCAUUGUUGACUUACUUGGAAGUAUCGAUCCAUUCAUGUUUGGAUGUUUCUGUGGAGUAUCUGCAAAUUAAAAAAUUAAAAAUUAAAACAUUUAGUCUAAACAUUAUGUAAACCUUUGCUACCAUUCAUCAUUCUAAUGUCCUCGAGUACUGAGCAGGUGGAUCUAGGGGUGUGGCGUUACAAAUAUUUUGACAACACAACAAUGAUUCCCCCAGUCAUGAAGAUGGAUAUAUCAUAUUCUAGUAGGCUAUAGUCUAGUCCCCACUGGACUGAUCAUCCCCAGGGGUCUGUUUUAGAAGGGUUCUGAGUCUGUGUGUGUGUGUGGGACAUCAACCAACCUCAGAGAUAUCUAUUUUAGCCCCAUGGUUUCAUGAUCCCUCCGCUGUACCUCACCUACCCUAAAGCUCAGUUUUAUAAAAUGUUAAUAAUAGGCCUUCAUUUAUCCUGGUUAGUCUUAUUGAGACAAUUAAAAAACGCAACAACCAACCUCAGUUCAAUAUUGCAGAUCUAUUCUUCUCUUCCGUAUUGUAAUAUGAACCUUCAGACAAGCAUGUAUGUGACAUUUCGUCUAUGUUUUGGUGUAACACAAUAGCACACUCAAGUCGUGAAAAUAAGUGUAACCGAUGUGAAAUGGCUAGUUAGUUAGCGGUGGUGCGCGCUAAUAGCGUUUCAAUCAGUGACGUCGUUGUGUUGUAAGGGCCGCGGCUUUUGUGGCGCGAUGGGUAACGAUGCUUCGUGGGUGUCGGUUGUUGAUGUGUGCAAGGGUCCCUGGUUCGAGCCCAGGUUGGGGCGAAGAGAGGGACGGAACCUACGCUGUUACAUAUGCAUAAAUAGUAUUUCAGCAGAUUUCGUGCAUUUUUGUGUGGCUUAAUUUGUGUGAAAAUACAUUUUUUGUGCGACUUCAUUCAUAGGAAAAUACCUUUUUUUUGUGGGCAAACUUCGGAACAAUCUUUUGAAACGUAUUGGAGCAAAGCAUUUUGGGCAAUGGUGUUGUACACUGCCUUUUUUGUAUUCCACAUGUUAACAACCCAAUAUUGUUAAUCAAACAGGUUGUCAACGAAUUAAAUAUAAUAUAAUAAUAGCCUUACAGGUUUUAUUUUUAUUAAUGCCAAUGCUGUUUUCUCUGCUUGUUUUCGCUUAAUAUUUUGGGAUACUGUUGCUAUGUCCGAUUUUAUGAGGGUUUCCAGACUGGAGUGUAAACCUGUAUUUGUAUGUUAUUUUUAAGGUAUCAAUGAAGGUAUUUCAUUGGUGAAUGGGGAUACAUUUGCAUGACGGUAAAUGAAUUUAUCAAUAAAUAUGGGGAAACAGAAGACCUGCAAAAAAUAAUAUGUUUGGUUUAAAUGUCCCUGUUGCAACUGCCUGGUAUUUGCAAUUAUAACGAGUCUGGACUAUGAUCUAUUAAGCCAUAUCAAUGUAGUUAGACAUGUUAAUGUAAAAUAAUGAAUUAUGUUGGCUUACACUUAUGGCACUUCCAAGGCCGUUUCAUGAUGGUUAUUACGGUCGUGUCAAUCAGGUUAUAUACUUAGGCUGUUGUAACAAGGCAUAUGCCAGCAUUGUAGACCUACUGCCUCUGCCCAGAGGACUACUAGGCUUUCAUGGCAACGACCGUUAAGAGUUCACUUUGCCACGUAUGAGCCCUGGUUAGAGUCGCUGUUGCAUCUUUCACUUUCUUCCACUACAUUGGUGGCAGCGUUAGGAUCACGUCCAGCUCAUGUCUAGUUAUGUGAACCAGUGGUGAGAAUCAUUCUGGGUUUCAACAUUUAUUCAGAAGGAAAUCCUCUGUGACUGUCUAAUUUACAUCAGUUAACUUACCAGUGUGGAACCAAAACAAACACAUUCUACACAUUUAUAAAUGACCUGUUUUAAAGUGUUCUUACAACCAUGUUGUUCUGUUGUUACUGAAGCUUAUAUAUCUAAUAACCUGACAAUGAUCCGCAUCAUAUUGGUAGACAAAUAAUGUGUGUUACGCAGAAAAACACAGCUAUGCUUUUUUUUUAGGAUGCAAACCACUAAUAUGAUUCACUAGUCUACUUCCGCAUGGCAAGCGGUACGGAAGUGCCAAAGUCUAGGACAAAAAGGCUUCUCAACAGUUUUUAUCCCCAAGCCAUAAGACUCCUGAACAGAAAAUCAAAUGGCUACCCGGACUAUUUGCAUUGUGUGCCCCCCCACCCCCAACCCCUCUUUUUACGCUGCUGCUACUCUCUGUUUAUCAUAUAUGCAUAAUCACUUUAACUAUACAUUCAUGUACAUACUUCCUCAAUCAGCCUGACUAACCGGUGUCUGUACUUUUAUAGCCUCGCUACUUACCGGUGCCUCGAUACUUGUAUAGCCUCGCUACUGUAUAUAGCCUGUCUUUUUACUGUUGUUUUAUUUCUUUACCUACCUAUUGUUCACCUAAUACCUUUUUUUUUUGCACUAUUGGUUAGAGCCUGUAAUUAAGCAUUUCACUGUAAGGUCUACACUUGUUGUAUUCGGCGCACGUGACAAAUAAACUUUGAUUUGAUUUGAUCCAUCCCGUUCUGAUCUAAUGAGAGGGAUGUAGGAUUUUCUACGGGCUAGAAUCGAGGCCUUUCCCAGUCAUGAAGUACGAAGCUAUAGGCCCCUGUUGGUUCUCAUUGGCAAAGGCUGAACUCAAGUUAUGUCAGAUUCUCCUAUACCACUUUGCCUAACAUCUUAUACCCCAGAGGUUGUAAAUAAACCCUUUUUUAAAGGUGAUAUAACUUGUAUCAUUAUUAUAGGGCUGUGAAACCUAUAGCCGAAUGGCUUCAGACUGAGCAUUUCUCACCAUCUAUUUACACAUUGCAAUUUUCGUUUUAUAACAGGUAGUGUCCAUUUAUUUACAGUAGUGAACUAUUACUUUCUUCAGUGGAAAUACAGAAUAUAUAUAAAACUGUCAAAUAUACCAAAGCUAAAUCAAGUAGAGAACUACAAACAUUUAACCAGUUAAAGAUAAUGAAUACAUGACAACUAGAAUAUUUUAUUAUAAAUAAUGAAUACAAAAGAGUUGGCUAUAACAGUACAAACAAAGUGAGUGUGUGUAUAUGUGUGUUAGUGUUUGUGUGUGCAUGAUCAUUUCCAAUCAUACAACUGUAUCUCCAUUCCCCAAUUGAAUACCUUCAUUGUUAACACAAAAUAUAUAUAUACUGUAUGUAUAUCUUUUUGGGUCCUAUCUGACAACCCUCAUAAAGUUCGACAUAGCCUUGUAUAAAAUGCAUUAUGAAAGAAAUGGUGUAAUGUACACGUGGAGCCUUGUAUUAAAUGCAUUAUGAAGAAAAUGUUUUCAUGUAUGAUGAUGGCCUACUUUAUAAUAAGGUGGUAGGCCUAAUUUGGUGUUUUACGAAUUAAAAAAUGUAAGUGUAUUAUACAAUUAUUUUAUACAAUAGGCUUCAUGUCGGUACCAACUUUCAUUCAGAAACGAAGGCUUAAUAAUAAUAAUAAUAAAA